AGCAGCCGCGGUAAUUCCAGCUCCAAUAGCGUAUAUUAAAGUUGCUGCAGUUAAAAAGCUCGUAGUUGAAUUUCGGGACCAUCAUGUCGGUCGUGCCUCGGUACGUACUGGCAUUGUUGGUUUCUCCCUUCUGAAGAACCAUGAUGUCAUUAAUUUGGUGUCUUGGGGAAUCAGGACUGUUACUUUGAAAAAUUAGAGUGUUUAAAGCAGGCUCGCGCUUGAAUACAUUAGCAUGGAAUAAUGAAAUAGGACGUUUGAUUCUAUUUUGUUGGUUUCUAGGAUCGACGUAAUGAUUAAUAGGGAUAGUUGGGGGCAUUAGUAUUCAAUUGUCAGAGGUGAAAUUCUUGGAUUUAUUGAAGACUAACUACUGCGAAAGCAUUUUGCCAAGGAUGUUUUCAUUAAUCAAGAACGAAAGUUAGGGGAUCGGAGACGAUCAGAUACCGUCGUAGUCUUAACCAUAAACU
rnacentral:rRNA from 1 species